rnacentral:rRNA from 1 species
UACGGAGGGUGCGAGCGUUGUUCGGAAUCACUGGGCGUAAAGCGCGUGUAGGCGGCCCACUAAGUCUGAUGUGAAAGCCCGGGGGCUCACCCCCCGGAAGUGCAUUGGAAACUGGUGGACUCGAGUCCCGGAGAGGAGAGUGGAAUUCCUGGUGUAGCGGUGAAAUGCGUAGAUAUCAGGAGGAACACCGGUGGCGAAGGCGGCUCUCUGGACGGUGACUGACGCUGAGACGCGAAAGCGUGGGGAGCAAACAGG